rnacentral:rRNA from 1 species
UUGGAGGGCAAGUCUGGUGCCAGCAGCCGCGGUAAUUCCAGCUCCAAUAGCGUAUAUUAAAGUUGUUGCGGUUAAAAAGCUCGUAGUCGAAUUUKGUGUCUCGUGCCGCUGGUUCAUCGUUCGCGGUGUUAACUGGCGAGUCGCGAGACGUCCUGCCGGUGGGCUUAGCUCGCAAGAGCGGCCCAACUCAAUCCUGCCGCGGUGCUCUUCAUUGAGUGUCGAGGUGGGCCGGCACGUUUACUUUGAACAAAUUAGAGUGCUUAAAGCAGGCUAAAACUUCGCCUGAAUACUGUGUGCAUGGAAUAAUGGAAUAGGACCUCGGUUCUAUUUUGUUGGUUUUCGGAACCCCGAGGUAAUGAUUAAUAGGAACGGAUGGGGGCAUUCGUAUUGCGACGNNAGAGGUGAAAUUCUUGGAUCGUCGCAAGANNNACAGAAGCGAAAGCAUUUGCCAAAAACGCUUUCAUUGAUCAAGAACGAAAGUNAGAGGUUCGANGGCGAUCAGAUACCGCCCUAGUUCUAACCUUAAACGAUGCCAGCUAGCGAUCCGUCGACGUUCCUCCGAUNACUCGACGGGCAGCUUCCGGGAAACCAAAGCUUUUGGGUUCCGGGGGAAGUAUGGUUGCAAAGCUGAAACUUAAAGGAAUUGACGGAAGGGCACCACCAGGAGUGGNGCCUGCGGCUUAAUUUGACUCAACACGGGAAACCUCACCAGGCCCGGACACCGGAAGGAUUGACAGAUUGAGAGCUCUUUCUUGAUUCGGUGGGUGGUGGUGCAUGGUCGUUCUUAGUUGGUAGAGCGAUUUGUCUGGUUAAUUCCGAUAACGAACGAGACUCUAGCCUGCUAAAUAGGCGUACNUUGACAUCCUAAAGGCCCGCCGUCUUGGGG